AUGGCGGCGCUCCUAGCCCGGCAGGCAGCGAUGGCCCUCCGCGCUAGGCAGACGGCGCGUCUCGGCCCGUCCGCGACGGCGAUGCAGGGCCACCUCCGGACCUACAUGGACGCGGGGGCGCCCAAGAGGUUCAAAGAGGACGAGGAGAAAGAACAGCUUGCGAAAGAGCUCGCCAAAGAUUGGAGUGCUGUGUUUGAAAGGAGUAUCAAUACAUUGUUUUUGACUGAAAUGGUCCGUGGUUUGAUGCUGACGCUCAAGUACUUCUUCGAGAGGAAAGUUACAAUUAACUAUCCAUUUGAGAAGGGCCCUUUGAGCCCCCGUUUCCGAGGGGAGCAUGCUCUCAGACGUUAUGAUACUGGGGAAGAGCGUUGCAUUGCCUGUAAACUCUGUGAAGCUAUAUGCCCAGCCCAGGCAAUUACUAUUGAGGCAGAAGAACGUGAAGAUGGCAGUCGCCGAACCACAAGAUACGAUAUUGACAUGACCAAAUGCAUCUACUGCGGGUUCUGCCAGGAAGCUUGCCCUGUCGAUGCUAUUGUCGAAGGCCCUAACUUUGAGUUCUCUACUGAAACUCACGAGGAGCUGCUGUACGACAAGGAGAAACUGCUCGAGAACGGCGACCGCUGGGAGACCGAGAUUGCUGAGAACUUGAAGUCUGAGGCCCUUUACCGUUGA
rnacentral:rRNA from 1 species